rnacentral:rRNA from 1 species
UACGUAGGUGUCGAGCGUUGUCCGGAUUUAUUGGGCGUAAAGAGCCCGCAGGCGGCUUGGCAAGUUUGAGGUGAAAUCUCCCGGCUUAACUGGGAGGGGGCCUCGAAAACUGCCAGGCUUGAGGCAUGGAGAGGGAUGCGGAAUUCCCGGUGUAGUGGUGAAAUGCGUAGAUAUCGGGAGGAACACCUGUGGCGAAAGCGGCUCACUGGACCAUAACUGACGCUGAGGCACGAAAGCUAGGGGAGCAAACAGG